rnacentral:tRNA from 1 species
GCGGACAUGGCGUAAUGGAAGCCGCGAUAGACUUAGGAUCUAUUGGGGAGACCCGUGCAGGUUCGAAUCCUGUUGUCCGCACCA